UACGGAGGGUGCAAGCGUUGUCCGGAUUUAUUGGGUUUAAAGGGUGCGUAGGCGGCCGAUUAAGUCUGGGGUGAAAGCCCACUGCUCAACAGUGGAACUGCCCUGGAAACUGGUCGGCUUGAGUACAGACGAGGGUGGCGGAAUGGAUGGUGCAGCGGUGAAAUGCAUAGAUACCAUCCAGAACCCCGAUUGCGAAGGCAGCUGCCUAGACUGUAACUGACGCUGAGGCACGAAAGCGUGGGGAGCGAACAGG
rnacentral:rRNA from 1 species